AUGAUGUGAGUGGUGCUUGUGAAGACAGGAUGAUCCAUUACAGCGCUAUAGAGCUAUAGAAACCAUGUGAAAUACUGGUGUAAAGGAUAUCAUUGGAACAGAUGCUGUUAUGUAGUCCUCACUAACCAUCCUAAGAGCAGGGAUAAGACCAGAAUCACUGAUGAUAUCAAUCAGGGAACCUUCACUGUGACCAUGACUGACCGGGAGCCAGGGGACUAUGGGUAUUACUGUUGUGAUGUGGCUGAUAACAUGACAGUUUACAGGAUACAAAUGUCCUUAUCAUUCACUCCAGGUAAGAUGCAGACACUGUUUGCAUCUGUUCUUCUUUUUCCCUUGACUAUCCUGUUGUUGAGUAUCCAGCCUAAUGUUGCCCCAUUGUACAUAUUUCGACGACGAUACUUUUAUGGUGGAUAUUUCCAAAUCAUGUUCAUCUGUUUGAUGAAUAAGCUAGACCAUACAUUGUCCAGAUCUUAAUAUCUCUCAGUGUUGUUUACUUUGUGUGUAGAUAAUACAGAACUUUACAUGGACCAACAACAGUUGACUUUGAAUGGCACAUCAUUAACAUUACAGCCAAUCAAUGGUCAAUCCAGCGGUUAUGUUUUGAUGUUGACCCUUAUUAAGUGGACUAAAGAUGAAAAACACUGACUGGUACUGGUGUGCAAUGGGAGACCUACAGAUGCCUGUUCAUAUCAAUUAAGGAAUAAGGCAUGAGGGGGUGUAGUAUAUUGCCAACAUACUACUGCUAAGGGCUAUUCUUAUGUACGACGCAACGGAAACUGCCUAAACACAGACCGUAGCCAUGCUAUAUUGGUCAUAUACCACAAACCCACGAGGUGCCUUAUUGCUAUUUGUAAACUGGUUAACAAUGUAAUUAGAAAAGUAAAAUACAUGUUUUACUGUUCAGCCAAUCAACAUUCCUAAUUUCAAUCAACCAAUCACAACACAUACUACCACUACCACCACAAGUAAACACAACAGUGUUAUGUAAUUAAGUAUCAUCUUGUUUGUGUUUCAUGUGCACCAAUCAGAUUUUCGAAUUGAGUCUUGCUAGAUUUGAACUUGCUUUAUUUGCUGAGCAAAUGUUAUUGUAAUUGAAACAUGCUGUUGAUGAAGAUGACCUAAUCUAUGACGGCUUGUUUUUCAUACACUACAGUUCAGGCUGUCUUUCUGGUAUACCAGCUAUUUAAUGCGUCUUCAAACACUCAGCAACCCUCUGCCGUUCCAAAUUCUGAGCCUGCUGUCAGGAAUGACAAGUCUCAGUCUCCAGACAACCCUUCUGUUCCUGUACGCAACACAACCCUGGGAGCUAAAAGGGACGUAGACGACAACCACCAUAGAGCACAAUAAGGUCAAUGCCCAACCAAUGAACACCUCAGUGGAGUCAUUUCCUGAAGUUGAUGAUGUAACAUACAUACUGUGGUCACCAACUAAGAGCAGAACCCUACAAAAAGUACAGACCAAGGCAGCAGAUCCAGGUGAUAAUGUGGUCUACAGCUCACGAGCCCUACACCAGAGAAAGGUUUCUGUUGGCUACUCGUGGGUAACUGAAGGUUCAUUUUCUCACCAGCAGAAUAGGCUUUUGUUUUUGGUUUCCAUUUCUGAGAAAUUCUAACAAAGUAAAAGCACUGUCUGCAACCACAUCUGUCCUGUUUGUUCCCACAAAAUCUCAUGAGAUGAGAUGAAUGGAGGUAGCCUAUAAACCAUCCGAAACAUGAUCAUUCCUCUGAGAUUGAAAAUGAUAACAAUGGUCAGAUUGAAGAGCAUUCUACAAGAAACAGCCAUUCUACAAGAAACAGCCACUACAAGAAACAGCCAUUAGUAUGUAAAGUAUUUUGUUGUAAAAGAUUACAAUUCUACAUUUGAGGGUAUCAAUCUGUUGAAUACAUAGUGGUAUGAGUGCAGACGAGUUUAUGAAUAAAUCCUUAAUAUUAAUUGUAACCUAUACACUAGGAGUCAGGAAUCAUGUGCAGAAAGUGAGUUUAAUAAUAAAAC